rnacentral:misc_RNA from 1 species
GUCGUCCUUGAAUGAUUCACUCAAAGACGUCCAAGAUAUGUCCUUACGACUAUCUGUUGAUGGAGAAAAGACAUCAUUGAAUGAAUCAUUUGAUGCAUCUGCAACUGCUGAUGCCGUACAAGACCAAGUUAAUCGGGUUUUAAGCAAAAUGAAGAGACCGGAGACAAGUAAACAGGAGUCUGAGGGUGAUAAAAAGGACAAUGUUCCUAGCAAAUAUCCUAUGUUACGGAGGCGGCGUAAAUUAAUUGUAAUUGCUCUAGAUUGCUAUGACACAAAUGGAGCUCCUCAAAAGAAAAUGAUUCAGAUUAUCCAGGAGAUUCUUAAGACCAUUAAGUCCG